AGCAGCGUGGCUUAGUGGAAAGAGCCCGGGCUUGGGAGUCAGAGGUCAUGGGUUCGAAUCCCGCCUCUGCCA
rnacentral:tRNA from 1 species